CCUACGGGUGGCAGCAGUGAGGAAUAUUGGUCAAUGGCCGUAAGGCUGAACCAGCCAAGUAGCGUGAGGGAAGACUGCCCUAUGGGUUGUAAACCUCUUUUAUGCGGGGAUAAAGGUGUCCACGUGUGGAUGUUUGCAGGUACCGCAUGAAUAAGGACCGGAUAAUUCCGUGCCAGCAGCCGCGGUAAUACGGAAGGUCCGUGCGUUGUCCGGAUUUAGUGGGUUUAAAGGGAGCGUAGGCCGGUCUUUAAGCGUGCCGUGAAAUUUUGUGGCUCAACCAUGAGAGUGCGGCGCGAACUGGAGACCGUGAGUGCGCGGAAGGCAGGCGGAAUUCGUGGUGUAGCGGUGAAAUGCUUAGAUAUCACGAAGAACCCCGAUUGCGAAGGCAGCCUGCCGCAGCGUUACUGACGCUGAAGCUCGAAAGCGCGGGUAUCGAACAGGAUUAGAUACCCCGGGAGUC
rnacentral:rRNA from 1 species